rnacentral:misc_RNA from 1 species
GAUGAAGAACGUAGCGAAAUGCGAUAAGUAAUGAGAAUUGCAGAAUUCAGUGAAUCAUCGAAUCUUUGAACGCACAUUGCGCCCGUUAGCAUUCUAGCGGGCAUGCCUGUCCGAGCGUCAUUUCAACCCUCAGGGUCCCCGUUCCGGCGGGGAACCUGGUGUUGGGGAUCGGCCCGCCCCGUGCGGCGCCGUCCCCCAAAUUCAGUGGCGGUCUCGCUGCAGCCUCCCCUGCGUAGUAGUUACAACCUCGCAUCGGAGCUCAGCGCGGACACGCCGUAAAACCCCCGACUUUCUGAACGUUGACCUCGGAUCAGGUAGGAAUACCCGCUGAACUUAAGCAUAUCAAUAAGCGGAGGA